GCAGGCGAUCGCGGCCACGGCUGCCACGGCAGCAUCCGAAAGGAAGUGGGUGAGGAAAGUCCGGGCUUCACAGGGCAUGGAUACCGGUUAACGGCCGGCGGAGGUAACUCCCGGGAAAGCGCAGCAGAGAACAGACCGCUGCCGCGGAAGCGGCAGUAAGGGUGAAACGGCAGUGUAAGAGACUACCGCUUCCCCAGUAAUGGGGAAGGCAUUGCAAGCCCUAUCCGAAGCAAGACCGAGCAGAGAACAGUUCACAGAAGCAUCCGGCCCGGAUGCGGACAGUUGUCCCUGUUUUCAGGUGGGUCGCUUGAUGCUGGCGGCAACGUCAGUACUAGAAAGAUGAUCGUCCAACGACAUAACCCGGCUUAUCGCUCUGCUU
rnacentral:RNase_P_RNA from 1 species